rnacentral:rRNA from 1 species
CAUGCAGUCCAGCGGAUGAAGGGAGCUUGCUCCUGGAUUCAGCGGCGGACGGGUGAGUAAUGCCUAGGAAUCUGCCUGGUAGUGGGGGACAACGUUUCGAAAGGAACGCUAAUACCGCAUACGUCCUACGGGAGAAAGCAGGGGACCUUCGGGCCUUGCGCUAUCAGAUGAGCCUAGGUCGGAUUAGCUUGUUGGUGAGGUAAUGGCUCACCAAGGCGACGAUCCGUAGCUGGUCUGAGAGGAUGAUCAGUCACACUGGAACUGAGACACGGUCCAGACUCCUACGGGAGGCAGCAGUGGGGAAUAUUGGACAAUGGGCGCAAGCCUGAUCCAGCCAUGCCGCGUGUGAAGAAGGUCUUCGGAUUGUAAAGCACUUUAAGUUGGGAGGAAGGGCAGUAGAUUAAUACUCUGCUGUUUUGACGUUACCAACAGAAUAAGCACCGGCUAACUCUGUGCCAGCAGCCGCGGUAAUACAGAGGGUGCAAGCGUUAAUCGGAAUUACUGGGCGUAAAGCGCGCGUAGGCGGCUAGGUAAGAUGGGUGUGAAAUCCCCGGGCUCAACCUGGGAACUGCAUCCAUAACUGCCUGGCUAGAGUACAGUAGAGGGUGGUGGAAUUUCCUGUGUAGCGGUGAAAUGCGUAGAUAUAGGAAGGAACACCAGUGGCGAAGGCGACCACCUGGACUGAUACUGACGCUGAGGUGCGAAAGCGUGGGGAGCAAACAGGAUUAGAUACCCUGGUAGUCCACGCCGUAAACGAUGUCAACUAGCCGUUGGAAUCCUUGAGAUUUUAGUGGCGCAGCUAACGCACUAAGUUGACCGCCUGGGGAGUACGGCCGCAAGGUUAAAACUCAAAUGAAUUGACGGGGGCCCGCGCAAGCGGUGGAGCAUGUGGUUUAAUUC